CGACGGGUGAGUAACCGUGGGCAAUCUGCCCUGCACUCUGGGACAAGCCCUGGAAACGGGGUCUAAUACCGGAUAUGACCUGGGACCGCAUGGUCCCGGGUGUAAAGCUCCGGCGGUGCAGGAUGAGCCCGCGGCCUAUCAGCUUGUUGGUGGGGUAAUGGCCUACCAAGGCGACGACGGGUAGCCGGCCUGAGAGGGCGACCGGCCACACUGGGACUGAGACACGGCCCAGACUCCUACGGGAGGCAGCAGUGGGGAAUAUUGCACAAUGGGCGAAAGCCUGAUGCAGCGACGCCGCGUGAGGGAUGACGGCCUUCGGGUUGUAAACCUCUUUCAGCAGGGAAGAAGCGCAAGUGACGGUACCUGCAGAAGAAGCACCGGCUAACUACGUGCCAGCAGCC
rnacentral:rRNA from 1 species